GUCUUCAGUGUUUUCCAAGCUGUCUGCUUUGUUCUCCGUGGGACAUCCAAACCUGGGCGCAUUUCAAAGGUUAAGAAAAUGUCUCCUGCAUCAGAGUGAUCAAAUUACAAUUCUAAAUCUGGAUGACCACAAUGGCAGAAUAGCAGAGAGAUGACUGGAUAAUGUAAUGAAGGUGAAAUGGCUUUGACUUAUGAGGGAACCGAAGCAGAGCGUUCACCUAACCCAAGACCAAAUGGCCUAAACACAGGUGAGAUGAUCUAAGGAGGGUUGGAACAAUGUGGCCGCGUGAAGUGAUGUGCAACGAACUGCAACCUGCACAUCCGUUUAAAUGCAAGCUGUUAGCAUGGUCAAGGGCAAUGACCUCCUGGCCUUGCCCCAUUCUCGCAGAAUAUGACUUCAGCGCGAAGGAAUUAACCCACGCGGAUUCAAAAAGUCAGAGACAAUAUUCCUGUUCACCACUGUGUAGCUCAACUGAGAAUGCUGUCAAAUGAAUAAAGGAAUUAUAC